CCAAAGAUAGCCACAGAAGCGGAGGGCGAAGCCGUCGGCCUGAUCGUGGAAGCUCUGAAUGGGGAGAGAGCACGGAUAUGGGAGUCAGAAGACCCAGCUUCUAAUUGUGAAUAAGUGAAACAUCUUCUUGGAGGAGGGCACCUGGAGGCAAUAUGGAGGUGUGCUGGGAUGCAGGAAGAAGCAAGCUCUGGAGCAUCAGGAGAGCAGUAGUGCUUGGAAGCAGAAAGAAGAAGCAUUGGCAGAAUGGGCUUCUUUGCCCACAGACUGGUAUUGGACCCUUGGUGGAAAAGAGCGCCACCAACAGUCUUUACCCAACAGCCCUUUCCAGAGAGAGAUAGAAUCCAGUUAAAUUGCAUUAACUCGGAUGGCCUCCUCACCGUCGUAAAUCUGUAAAAGCCAAGAAGCGGAAAUCCCCCCCAACCUUCCCAAGAGGUAGCUUUCCAAUAGCUCCUAUUUCACAGUGAAAUCUAUCUUGCUGAUUUCCACCGCCAACUGUGCUGGCUUCUUGGUAAGAAAAACGAGAUCAGAGGAUCCAAGUGGUCCCCAGAGGAGGUGAUUCCCUCAAAUGUACUUUGAGAAGACGUUCGCUCCUCUGCCUUCCCCAGGUGCGGCUGGAGAAACAGAGGGCACAGGGGUGCCAGAGAGCCAGAAUAACCUGUCAGAGACACAUGGCAGGCAUUUGUUUUUAAACUGUGAAAUUGGAAGGGGCAUUCCCGAUUUUGAUGUCUCAAGCUGAGAUAGUUUUCUUCUUGAGAGAAAAGGGAAGUUAAGUGAAAAAAUAAUAAAAUGAACUGCCCCUCCAUGUUUAAAACACUCA